rnacentral:lncRNA from 1 species
AAACUGAGCCGGAAAUCCCUAUCUAACGAAGGGAGAUGUCCAACUUUUUUGUCCGAGCUCGUUGAAGCGGUUUUCCUUUUUCUUAAAUCAUGCCGUCACAUGGCUUCCAUGAGCUUUGAUCUCUUAUUCGAAACUCUCCUCGCGUCCAGAUUAAUUUCUCGGCAACGUCUGAACGCCACGACAACUACGAAGACGACGGCCCAGCGACGCCCAGGAUAUCGCUAACGCCAUCGCCAAGGAUGGUUGUAUAGGUGCCUCUGGCCCCAGCCGGCCGCCCGUCUUACUGGUCAAACAGGUCAUUGAUCUGACACUGGCAGGUCUGCCUGCUGCAGACUCAUUCAUGGGGCAGCAGCCAUAUUUCCUACACACUGAAUUCGAACUCUGGAAUACAUACGCGCUCUACAGCACGAUACUGGAAAUAAAAAUAGCCGGAGAGGACAGGUUGGCCGUCUUACACCCACCAAGCUGCUGUACCAGCGAGCGACGGGCUUGAGUGUACCAGGAACGUCGAAGAGAGUCGUUGAAACUAGUCUGAGGUCAUUCUUGCAAUGAAAGAGAAGGCGGAUACUCGACAAGUAUCUUCGCGGCGGAUGAUGCUUUGAAAAAGUUCAGUUAUGAUCCUUAAAUGGCUAUAGUUGAUGACCACCCUCGUGGACUCUGACAUUUUAGGAAAAGUGCAAUAGAGGACUAUUCAUUCUUUACGCUCACUAAUUAUCGGUUCAAAAACGGUAGACUAGACGUCUAUGGAAAUUUUGAAAGAGUACCACAUCUGCUUGACUUCAAAAUUUGUAUGAUUUUGAUUGCAAUGUCGCAGACAAAGUGAACUACACGCACAAGAUCUCCAUGAUUUUCUUCCUCUGCAAAGUAUAUAAGACUACUCAGCUUCAACGAUCUUCUCUAGACUAACUUUCGCAAUGUCCGUAAAAAGAGAUAAUUCAAUCCCCUUCAACCGCAAAAUAAUAGAAGGGGCCAACUCGUGAUACGAGAGCAGCACCGUGACGCCACGCAGAGGAUUAUUUCCACAACCUUCCCAGUCGCAGGAUCGCUUUAGCUGUCUAGACGUGGAGGCGUCGUCGUCCACAUACCCAGAAAUGCAUUAAACGACAACAUCAAUACCGCUAUACAAUUCGAAAUAACAAUCGUAUAAUAAUUUAACAGUCCAAUUAUGACAGAAUCCGGAAGCUAUGGUGGUUGUAUAACAAUAUCAUGCAAUGGUAGAAAAGUCGAUUUUAUUUGGGAGCAGGAUUUAGAAAACGGAUGGAAAGAGGAGUAUGUAAAAAAAUAAAAUUUGCAAGCAAUUGUCUAAGGAA